rnacentral:rRNA from 1 species
UGCGGAGGGAUCAUUGCUGGAACGCGCCCCAGGCGCACCCAGAAACCCUUUGUGAACUUAUACCUUACUGUUGCCUCGGCGCUAGCUGGUCCUUCGGGGCCCCUCACCCUCGGGUGUUGAGACAGCCCGCCGGCGGCCAACCUAACUCUUGUUUUUACACUGAAACUCUGAGAAUAAAACAUAAAUGAAUCAAAACUUUCAACAACGGAUCUCUUGGUUCUGGCAUCGAUGAAGAACGCAGCGAAAUGCGAUAAGUAAUGUGAAUUGCAGAAUUCAGUGAAUCAUCGAAUCUUUGAACGCACAUUGCGCCCUCUGGUAUUCCGGAGGGCAUGCCUGUUCGAGCGUCAUUUCAACCCUCAAGCCUGGCUUGGUGAUGGGGCACUGCCUGUAAAAGGGCAGGCCCUGAAAUUCAGUGGCGAGCUCGCCAGGACCCCGAGCGCAGUAGUUAAACCCUCGCUUUGGAAGGCCCUGGCGGUGCCCUGCCGUUAAACCCCCAACUUCUGAAAAUUUGACCUCGGAUCAG